UCAAACUAUAAUAUUUUACAGUUUUACCCUAAAUCCUAAACUUUUUUACUUUUCCCUCAACUUUUACUCCUUCCCACUUUUCCCCCAAAACUUUUACUCCCCUCCCCUCCCAACCCCCAAUCUACCCAAAAUCCAUUUCCCACCAAAAUUUUACUCUUCAAUUCAAUUUUUUUUCAAAAUUUUACUCUCAAAAACCCUCAAAACCUUUUAUUUUCCCCCAAAAUUUUUACUCCCUCCCACUUUUCCCCUAAAACUUUUAUUCUCUUCCCAUCCCACCUCCCAUCUACCCCA
rnacentral:lncRNA from 1 species